rnacentral:rRNA from 1 species
AUGAACGCUGGCGGCGUGCCUAAUCCAUGCCAGUCGAGCGAACAGACGAGGAGCUUGCUCCUCUGACGUUAGCGGCGGACGGGUGAGUAACACGUGGAUAACCUACCUAUAAGACUGGGAUAACUUCGGGAAACCGGAGCUAAUACCGGAUAAUAUAUUGAACCGCAUGGUUCAAUAGUGAAAGACGGUUUUGCUGUCACUUAUAGAUGGAUCCGCGCCGCAUUAGCUAGUUGGUAAGGUAACGGCUUACCAAGGCAACGAUGCGUAGCCGACCUGAGAGGGUGAUCGGCCACACUGGAACUGAGACACGGUCCAGACUCCUACGGGAGGCAGCAGUAGGGAAUCUUCCGCAAUGGGCGAAAGCCUGACGGAGCAACGACGCGUGAGUGAUGAAGGUCUUCGGAUCGUAAAACUCUGUUAUUAGGGAAGAACAAAUGUGUAAGUAACUAUGCACGUCUUGACGGUACCUAAUCAGAAAGCCACGGCUAACUACGUG